CCUACGGGAGGCAGCAGUGGGGGAUAUUGCACAAUGGGGGGAACCCUGAUGCAGCGACGCCGCGUGGGUGAAGAAGCGCCUCGGCGCGUAAAGCCCUGUCAGCAGGGAAGAAAAUGACGGUACCUGACGAAGAAGCCCCGGCGAACUACGUGCCAGCAGCCGCGGUAAUACGUAGGGGGCAAGCGUAAUCCGGAUUUACUGGGGGUAAAGGGGGCGCAGACGGGGAUGCAAGCCAGGAGUGAAAGCCCGGGGCCCAACCCCGGUACUGCUCUUGGAACUGCGUGGCUGGAGUGCAGGAGGGGCAGGCGGAAUGCCUGGUGUAGCGGGGAAAUGCGUAGAUAUCAGGAGGAACACCGGUGGCGAAGGCGGCCUGCUGGACUGCAACUGACGUUGAGGCCCGAAAGCGUGGGGAGCAAACAGGAGUAGAUACCCGAGUAGUC
rnacentral:rRNA from 1 species